CUUCGGGGGGAAGUCGACGGAAUGAGCGGCGGACGGGUGAGUAACACGUAAAGAACCUGCCCUCAGGUCUGGGAUAACCACGAGAAAUCGGGGCUAAUACCGGAUGGGUCAUCGGACCGCAUGGUCCGAGGAUGAAAGGCGCUUCGGCGUCGCCUGGGGAUGGCUUUGCGGUGCAUUAGCUAGUUGGUGGGGUAAUGGCCCACCAAGGCGACGAUGCAUAGCCGACCUGAGAGGGUGAUCGGCCACACUGGGACUGAGACACGGCCCAGACUCCUACGGGAGGCAGCAGUAGGGAAUCUUCCACAAUGGACGAAAGUCUGAUGGAGCAACGCCGCGUGAACGAUGAAGGCCUUCGGGUCGUAAAGUUCUGUUGUAAGGGAAGAACAAGUGCCGCAGGCAAUGGCGGCACCUUGACGGUACCUUGCGAGAAAGCCACGGCUAACUACGUGCCAGCAGCCGCGGUAAUACGUAGGUGGCAAGCGUUGUCCGGAAUUAUUGGGCGUAAAGCGCGCGCAGGCGGCCUCUUAAGUCUGAUGUGAAAGCCCCCGGCUCAACCGGGGAGGGCCAUUGGAAACUGGGAGGCUUGAGUAUAGGAGAGA
rnacentral:rRNA from 1 species